rnacentral:rRNA from 1 species
CAGUCGCCACGGGAAUACGAGGGGGGCAAGCGUUGUUCGGAAUUAUUGGGCGUAAAGGGUGCGUAGGCGGUUUGAUAAGUCUUGUGUGAAAUCUAUGGGCUCUACCCAUAGUCUGCACAGGAAACUGUCGGGCUUGAGAGUGGGAGAGGUGAGUGGAAUUUCCGGUGUAGCGGUGAAAUGCGUUGAGAUCGAAAAGAACACCAACGGUGAAAACACUCUGCUGGGCCGACACUGACACUGAAGACGAAAGCUAGGGGAGAAAAUGGGAUUAGAUACCCCUGUAGUCCCUGUCUCUUAUACA